rnacentral:rRNA from 1 species
GACGAACGCUGGCGGCGUGUUUACACAUGCCAGUCGGACGGAAAGGCCCUGCUUGCAGGGUAAUCGAGUGGGGAACGGGUGAGGAACACGUGGGGGAUCUGCCCUGGACUUCGGGGUAAGCCUGGGGAAAUGGGUCUAAUACCGGGUAGGAGCCAUUUUUAGUGUGGUGGGUGGAAAGGUUUUUCGGUGUAGGAUGAGCUCGCGGCCUAUCAGCUUGUUGGUGGGGUAAUGGCCUACCAAGGCGGCGACGGGUAGCCGGCCUGAGAGGGUGGACGGCCACAUUGGGACUGAGAUACGGCCCAGACUCCUACGGGAGGCAGCAGUGGGGAAUAUUGCACAAUGGGCGCAAGCCUGAUGCAGCGACGCCGCGUGGGGGAUGACGGCCUUCGGGUUGUAAACUCCUUUCGCUAGGGACGAAGCUUUUUGUGACGGUACCUAGAUAAGAAGCACCGGCUAACUACGUG